AUCUCCUGGCUCAGGACGAACGCUGGCGGCGCGCCUAACACAUGCAAGUCGAACGGAGCUGAGAGAAGCUUGCUUUUCUUAGCUUAGUGGCGAACGGGUGAGUAACGCGUGAGUAACCUGCCCUGGAGUGGGGGACAACAGUUGGAAACGACUGCUAAUACCGCAUAAGCCCACGGUACCGCAUGGUACUGAGGGAAAAGGAUUUAUUCGCUUUAGGAUGGACUCGCGUCCAAUUAGCUAGUUGGUGAGGUAACGGCCCACCAAGGCGACGAUUGGUAGCCGGACUGAGAGGUUGAACGGCCACAUUGGGACUGAGACACGGCCCAGACUCCUACGGGAGGCAGCAGUGGGGGAUAUUGCACAAUGGGGGAAACCCUGAUGCAGCGACGCCGCGUGGAGGAAGAAGGUUUUCGGAUUGUAAACUCCUGUCGUUAGGGACGAUAAUGACGGUACCUAACAAGAAAGCACCGGCUAACUACGUGCCAGCAGCCGCGGUAAAACGUAGGGUGCAAGCGUUGUCCGGAAUUACUGGGUGUAAAGGGAGCGCAGGCGGGAAGACAAGUUGGAAGUGAAAUCCAUGGGCUCAACCCAUGAACUGCUUUCAAAACUGUUUUUCUUGAGUAGUGCAGAGGUAGGCGGAAUUCCCGGUGUAGCGGUGGAAUGCGUAGAUAUCGGGAGGAACACCAGUGGCGAAGGCGGCCUACUGGGCACUAACUGACGCUGAGGCUCGAAAGCAUGGGUAGCAAACAGGAUUAGAUACCCUGGUAGUCCAUGCCGUAAACGAUGAUUACUAGGUGUUGGAGGAUUGACCCCUUCAGUGCCGCAGUUAACACAAUAAGUAAUCCACCUGGGGAGUACGACCGCAAGGUUGAAACUCAAAGGAAUUGACGGGGGCCCGCACAAGCAGUGGAGUAUGUGGUUUAAUUCGAAGCAACGCGAAGAACCUUACCAGGUCUUGACAUCCGAUGCAUAGCACAGAGAUGUGUGAAAUCCUUCGGGACAUCGAGACAGGUGGUGCAUGGUUGUCGUCAGCUCGUGUCGUGAGAUGUUGGGUUAAGU
rnacentral:rRNA from 1 species